UGUUAAAAAUGUCAUCUAGUUUUACUAUUAAAAACUGGCAUAGCUGAUGGAAUAACCAGACAAUUACAUCUGGCGUACCACGUGCACGUCAUGUUGAUGUACAUAGACCAAGUUUUAACAGUAAGAAUGGAUAGAAUUUUUAAUA
rfam:Gossypium hirsutum cultivar TM-1 unplaced genomic scaffold scaffold1462.1, whole genome shotgun sequence